AUAUAUCAAGUAUUACAUUUAAUAAAAAUGAUGAUAGUCAACAAAAUGAACACACCAAAUCACUAAUUAAUAUAGAAAAUCAAAAUUUUAAUGAUGAACUUGAUACCAUAAGCAACAAUUUACCACCCACAUCAGAAAAUCAGAAUUUUAAUGAUGAACUUGAUACCAUAAGCAACAAUUUACCACUCACCUCAGAAAUACCUAGAUACUCUAUAAAAAAUUAUGAUAAAAAUAAGCUAAAUACACUUGAUCACUUCAAAUCUCUACCUAGUAA